GAUGAACGCUAGCGGCAGGCUUAAUACAUGCAAGUCGAGGGGCAGCAGGACUGUAGCAAUACAGUUGCUGGCGACCGGCAAACGGGUGCGGAACACGUACGCAACCUUCCUUUAAGUGAGGGAUAGCCCAGAGAAACUUGGAUUAAUACCUCGUAAUAUUUGAGAGUGGCAUCACUUUCUAAUUAUAGCUCCGGCGCUUAAAGAUGGGCGUGCGACUGAUUAGGUAGUUGGCGGGGUAACGGCCCACCAAGCCUGCGAUCAGUAACUGGUGUGAGAGCACGACCAGUCACACGGGCACUGAGACACGGGCCCGACUCCUACGGGAGGCAGCAGUAAGGAAUAUUGGUCAAUGGACGCAAGUCUGAACCAGCCAUGCCGCGUGGAGGAUGAAGGUCCUCUGGAUUGUAAACUUCUUUUAUCUGGGAAGAAACCCAUAUUUUCUAGUGUGGUUGACGGUACCAGAUGAGUAAGCACCGGCUAACUCCGUGCCAGCCGCCGCAGUAAAAC
rnacentral:rRNA from 1 species